UACGGAGGGUGCAAGCGUUAUCCGGAUUCACUGGGUUUAAAGGGUGCGUAGGUGGGCAGUUAAGUCAGUGGUGAAAUCUCCGGGCUUAACCCGGAAACUGCCAUUGAUACUAUCUGUCUUGAAUACCGUGGAGGUAAGCGGAAUAUGUCAUGUAGCGGUGAAAUGCUUAGAUAUGACAUAGAACACCAAGUGCGAAGGCAGCUGACUACACGUACUACUGACACUGAGGCACGAAAGCGUGGGGAUCAAACAGG
rnacentral:rRNA from 1 species